GUAAGUUAUGCUUGUUAACUCAUCUCCUAAAUUUUUUCACAUUUUCUUCCCGGGUAACAUUAAGUAACUAAGAGUAAUUUGUUAUAUAUUCUCUUGUAGUUUAUACUGAUAAAAUACAGAUACUAGUGGAAUUCAUGCCUUAGAAAUUUUUUGCGCGUUUUAAUUUGUUGCUUCUUUUGUUUGAAGUUGGAUCCAACAGAUUUUAACAUGCUUGGUUUGUUUAACUAACUACUCCUAUCAGACCACGCCUAUUUUUUCAGUUCAUUUCUUCUGCUUCAAUUUCCUGGUGUUAUUAGCCUUCAGUUUUGGUGCAAUUUUGUUAAUCAUUGGGAUGUACCAGCCUUCCUGCUAUCAGGCAUUUGUUGGUGUUCAAAGAACUCUCUAACUGCACCUGCUGUUCCAUUUGUCAGGAACAUAUAGUUUAAUGAAUCUAAUAUCUUUAAAGCUACCUGAGUUCCAGCCACAUGAUCGGUGCAGGAAUUGUGCUGGUUUUAACAUCUUACUUCUUCAAGAAAAUAGGGCAGAGUGAACCUUAUGCCUCUAAAGAUGCUUGCAUUCUAGCCCCAUUGCUGGUUCUAGGAUGUUGGGCAGAGUGAACCUUAUGUCUCUAAAGAUGCCUGCAUUCUAGCCCCAUUGCUGGUGCUAGGAUGGUGGGACUUUAACCUCUAAUUCUCUUCACAUAAAUUAACAUCAAAAUGUGAAUUCAAUUUCAAUGGUAUGUAACAUUUGCUUUUGAAAUGCAGUGGGGAAAGCCAGUUUGACUUUGUUUGGUUACAGGUUAUUGGAUAAGCUCUCGUCCUUGAUGAGAUAAUCAAUUAUGCUCAAUCAUUACAACGCCAGGUUGAGGUAUGCUAUCCACCUAUCUUGUUGCACUGUUCUAGUUGAGACUUCUACACUAACAAGCUUUCUUGAAUCCUCAGUUCCUAGAUUGCAGCUUAUUAUUUGUUUGACUCUAAUGAUAGAAAGCCUAUAGUGUGUAACUUAUGUUGUACUAGUUACAUUAUGAUUUUCGUGAAUGUAUGGCAAGAAUUUAUGCUAUCAAGUAAAUAGUUUGUGGAUGUAAGUGUUGUGAUAAUAUCCAAGAAAAUAGCUUUGUAUUUUAGCUCUUAUUCAUGUGAGUAUGUAACAACUUCAGUUCAAUGUUAUUGUUAGAUCAAGUAAUAGAUUUAUUUGUAAGAAGAAUCAGACCUUUCGUUUAUUUAUAUACCAAG
rnacentral:lncRNA from 1 species